AACCACAGCCAUAUCACCCUGCAGCCCAAGACCGGUUGCCCACUGAAGCUAAGCAGGGCUGAGCUUGGUCAGUACCUGGAUAGGAGACCGCUUGGGAAAAGGGACUAGGUUGCUGUUGGAA
rnacentral:rRNA from 1 species